rnacentral:rRNA from 1 species
UGGAAGUAAAAAGUCGUAACAAGGUUUCCGUAGGUGAACCUGCGGAAGGAUCAUUACUGAUUUGCUUAAUUGCACCACAUGUGUUUUUUAUUGAACAAAUUUCUUUGGUGGCGGGAGCAAUCCUACCGCCAGAGGUUAUAACUAAACCAAACUUUUUAUUUACAGUCAAACUUGAUUUAUUAUUACAAUAGUCAAAACUUUCAACAACGGAUCUCUUGGUUCUCGCAUCGAUGAAGAACGCAGCGAAAUGCGAUACGUAAUAUGAAUUGCAGAUAUUCGUGAAUCAUCGAAUCUUUGAACGCACAUUGCGCCCUUUGGUAUUCCAAAGGGCAUGCCUGUUUGAGCGUCAUUUCUCCCUCAAACCCCCGGGUUUGGUGUUGAGCAAUACGCUAGGUUUGUUUGAAAGAAUUUAACGUGGAAACUUAUUUUAAGCGACUUAGGUUUAUCCAAAAACGCUUAUUUUGCUAGUGGCCACCACAAUUUAUUUCAUAACUUUGACCUCAAAUCAGGUAGGACUACCCGCUGAACUUAAGCAUAUCAAUAAGCGGAGGAA